rnacentral:rRNA from 1 species
CCGGACUGAGAGGUUGAACGGCCACAUUGGGACUGAGACACGGCCCAGACUCCUACGGGAGGCAGCAGUGGGGGAUAUUGCACAAUGGGGGAAAUCCUGAUGCAGCGACGCCGCGUGGAGGAAGAAGGUUUUCGGAUUGUAAACUCCUGUCGUUAGGGACGAUAAUGACGGUACCUAACAAGAAAGCACCGGCUAACUACGUGCCAGCAGCCGCGGUAAU